rnacentral:rRNA from 1 species
AUUGAACGCUGGCGGCAUGCUUUACACAUGCAAGUCGAACGGUAACAGGCCGCAAGGUGCUGACGAGUGGCGAACGGGUGAGUAAUGCAUCGGAACGUGCCCAGUCGGGGGGGAUAACGCAGCGAAAGCUUUGCUAAUACCGCAUACGACCUAUGGAUGCAAGCGGGGGACCGUAAGGCCUCGCGCGAUUGGACCGGCCGAUGUCAGAGUAGUUAGUUGGUGGGGGAAAGGCUCACCAAGCGAACGAUCUGUAGCUGGUCUGAGAGGACGACCAGCCACACUGGGACUGGAAAACGGUCCAGACUCCCACGGGAGGCAUCGGUAGGGAAUAUUGGAGAAUGGAGGCAACUCUGAUGCAGCAACGCAGCGUGAGUGAAGAAGGCCAUUGGGUCGUAAAGCUGUUUAGCCUGGAAAGAAGUGCCCUUAAGUAAAUAAUUUGAGAGUGUGACGGUACCAGGAGAAUAAGGUCCGGCUAAUUUCGUGCCAGCCGCCGCGGUAA